AUUGAACGCUGGCGGCAGGCUUAACACAUGCAAGUCGAACGGUAACAUAAAGAAGCUUGCUUCUUUGAUGACGAGUGGCGGACGGGUGAGUAAUGCUUGGGAAUCUAGCUUAUGGAGGGGGAUAACUACGGGAAACUGUAGCUAAUACCGCGUAAUAUCGAGAGAUUAAAGUGUGGGACCUUCGGGCCACAUGCCAUAGGAUGAGCCCAAGUGGGAUUAGGUAGUUGGUGAGGUAAAGGCUCACCAAGCCGACGAUCUCUAGCUGGUCUGAGAGGAUGACCAGCCACACUGGGACUGAGACACGGCCCAGACUCCUACGGGAGGCAGCAGUGGGGAAUAUUGCGCAAUGGGGGCAACCCUGACGCAGCCAUGCCGCGUGAAUGAAGAAGGCCUUCGGGUUGUAAAGUUCUUUCGGUAGUGAGGAAGGCAUUUAGUUUAAUAGACUAGGUGAUUGACGUUAACUACAGAAGAAGCACCGGCUAACUCCGUGCCAGCAGCCGCGGUAAUACGGAGGGUGCGAGCGUUAAUCGGAAUAACUGGGCGUAAAGGGCACGCAGGCGGUGACUUAAGUGAGGUGUGAAAGCCCCGGGCUUAACCUGGGAAUUGCAUUUCAUACUGGGUCGCUAGAGUACUUUAGGGAGGGGUAGAAUUCCACGUGUAGCGGUGAAAUGCGUAGAGAUGUGGAGGAAUACCGAAUGUGAACGCAGUCCCCUUGGGAAUGUUCUGUCGCUCAUGCGCCAAUAGCUCCC
rnacentral:rRNA from 1 species